CGAGUGGCGGACGGUGAGUAAUGUCUGGGAAACUGCCCGAUGGAGGGGGAUAACUACUGGAAACGGUAGCUAAUACCGCAUAACGUCGCAAGACCAAAGAGGGGGACCUUCGGGCCUCUUGCCAUCGGAUGUGCCCAGAUGGGAUUAGCUAGUAGGUGGGGUAACGGCUCACCUAGGCGACGAUCCCUAGCUGGUCUGAGAGGAUGACCAGCCACACUGGAACUGAGACACGGUCCAG
rnacentral:rRNA from 1 species